UACGUAGGGGGCAAGCGUUGUCCGGAUUUAUUGGGCGUAAAGAGCGUGUAGGCGGCCAGACAGGUCCGUUGUGAAAACUCGAGGCUCAACCUCGAGAUGUCGAUGGAAACCGUCUGGCUAGAGUCCGGAAGAGGAGUGUGGAAUUCCUGGUGUAGCGGUGAAAUGCGCAGAUAUCAGGAAGAACACCUAUGGCGAAGGCAGCACUCUGGGACGGUACUGACGCUGAGACGCGAAGGCGUGGGGAGCGAACAGG
rnacentral:rRNA from 1 species